rnacentral:rRNA from 1 species
UACGAAGGGGGCUAGCGUUGCUCGGAAUCACUGGGCGUAAAGCGCACGUAGGCGGCUUGUUAAGUCAGGGGUGAAAUCCUGGAGCUCAACUCCAGAACUGCCUUUGAUACUAGCGAGCUUGAGUUCGGGAGAGGUGAGUGGAACUGCGAGUGUAGAGGUGAAAUUCGUAGAUAUUCGCAAGAACACCAGUGGCGAAGGCGGCUCACUGGCCCGGUACUGACGCUGAGGUGCGAAAGCGUGGGGAGCAAACAGG